UACGGAGGGUGCGAGCGUUGCCCGGAAUCACUGGGCGUAAAGGGCGCGUAGGCGGCCUGAUAAGUAGGGGGUGAAAUCCUGCGGCUUAACCGCAGGGCUGCCUUCUAAACUGUCGGGCUGGAGCACGGUAGAGGCAGAUGGAAUUCCCGGUGUAGCGGUGGAAUGCGUAGAGAUCGGGAAGAACAUCAGUGGCGAAGGCGGUCUGCUGGGCCGUUGCUGACGCUGAGGCGCGACAGCGUGGGGAGCAAACGGG
rnacentral:rRNA from 1 species